rnacentral:tRNA from 1 species
GCCUGACUGGCUUAGUUGGUAGAGCAUGUGACUAUCAAUCUUAGGAUUGUGAGUUUAAGCACCAUGUUGGGCA